rnacentral:lncRNA from 10 species
ACAGAAGGAAGAGCAGGUUUCUCACGGCAUGUCAGCCCAGGGCUCCCACAUGUGGCCUCCCACCCUCAUCUUCACACAUUCUCACACCUUCCGGAGUACAGAGGCGAGUGGGGUGCAGAUGGUCCUCCCUACAUCGGGCCACUCCUCGACUUUUCAGCUCCCGCACGAUUCCUUGGGGCAGGCGACCAGUGACUGACACCGCAUAUACACCUGGCUUAAAGUUACUGACUCGCUGCCACUUGGAGACCCAGCUGUCCUCUGGACUCAUCAUCGCAAUGAUUCCAUCAAAGGAAGAGCUAGUGCAGUCAUAUACCAUCUCUCGGUUACCCUUCAUUUGUAGAUAUGCAUCACAAUUGUCACAACCAUCAUAUUCAAACUGGUCUAUAGUACCUUGACCAGCGAACACAGCAAACAGGCCCGCAGAUGCCGCAGGUCCUUCGGCACCGUCUCCAGGGCCAUCUUCGCCGAUGGGAAGAACAACAGGGAGAUAGACGACCACAGCCUGUGCACCCGCAGGAAGUAAAUAGCUCGUUACCCAGAAUGCCCACCACUUCCGGCGCUUAGACUUCCUCUUCCGGUGUGGGCGGACGCCAGCUCCGCCCCUACCCCCGCCAGAGGAGAUGGUUUCUCCCGCCAGCAGGCGGGGAGGCUGGGCGGCCGGCCGCCACCUGGGCCGGAGCGCGUCGCAGCCACCUGAGCCCGCCGAGGGCGCGGCGGAGGCUGUGUGGGGUAGUCAGCGGGCCCCCGGGGCGGGGGGGCGGCUGCGCUUGCGCGGGAGUGUGUCGGGCUGAGCCGCAGCGCCGAGACGCGGGCUGUUUGAUCUGGGCUGGUGGCCCUGGGCGUCGGUCCUGUUCCCCGAUGGUAACCCGAAGUUUGUUUUUUUUUGUUUUGUCUCCCCGUUUUAGAAGCAUUGGGGGCAGUGAAUCCACUGUCUCCCUCUGGAUUGUCUCUGCAGAGACCGAGAAGAAAUCCAGGGACAGCCCCACCCCUCCUUCCUAACUGCGAGAGCGCUAUAGGGUUUCCACUUGCUUCCCACAGGAAUGCUGGCCUGGGAGCUACGGCGGAAAAAAAUGCGUAUUUAUCUUUUAAAACUCCGUCUGUUUGCUCGUUCCGGCUGAUAAUUUAUACUUUGCGCAGUUCUUAGCGCUUAGACACGGUUCCUUUACUAAAGACCAUUUGUAGGAGAUUAGGUGUCCUUUUUUUCCCUUUCAUUUCACCGUCUAGGAAGCGAAAUGCCUUGUUCUAUAGGCACUAAACCACCACCCCUACCAAACCUUUCUCGGGGAAGCAGAAGGGGAACUUGUGCCUUGUGAGGAAGCGACAAAGGCCCCUUCUGGCCCUGGAGACUUCACGCCAAUGGAGCACCAGCUCUCUGUCCUCGCAAUAGCCCGAGUGCAGGCAGAACGCAGUCAUUUGUGUUUAUCUGAGAGGAGCUUUGGGAUAUAAAUAGUUUCAGGCCCCGCUGCGCUGUCAUUCCAGCCCAGCCUCCUGAUUGAGCUGCUUCCGGGCGGGCUUUCUUCUUGUUGGCGGUCCCAUGCUGUGUUCAGAUGGGCUCUGUGACAGGUUUGGAUGUUUUCUAUCACUGAAUAAAACUUUCCACUUUGGAACAU